UCCCUGGUGGUCUAGUGGCUAGGAUCCGGCGCUCUCACUCACCGUGGCCCGGGUUCGAUUCCCGGUCAGGGAA